AUUUUAAACCAAAGGAUUCGUAUAUAGAUCGUAUAAUACAAGGAAAGAGGAAAGAUCGCCACGCUAUAAAAAAAAAAAACCAACGUCCCGGGGAAAAUAUGUCCGCAGUCGAGAGUGCUCUCGACGUCUUAUCCAGGGCAGCCACAAUGGUACAGGAGGAGAGGCCAAAAGCGUCGAAUCUUCACAGAAAGCCAAGCAGUGCCUGGCGGAAAGAACGCAGGCGAGAUCCGAUCCAAAGCGAAGCUCUCGACAUGUCAGCUGCCAGGGUACAUCACCACGCGAGGCCGAGCGUAAUCGUGCCAACGACACCGCAACCAGGAACGACCGUCGAGGACACGGCGGUAGCGGCCUGCACGGCCACUGCGUCCGCCGCGACGGGGACCCAACGAACCGGGGUCAGGAGCAGCGGCGUUGUCUGCGAUCCAGCGAUCGACGAACACUUUAAACGGUCCCUGGGCCUCGAAGAAUACGCGGCCGUGUUCGACGCGACGUCAUCAAACGACAAGGCGACCGGUCUCACCGUUGACGACCACUUUGCCAAAGCCCUCGGAGAGACGUGGACUAGACUGCAGGCCACCAACCGAAGCAAGGACUCGACUUAACCUUCCGCCACCAAACUCAGCAGGCUAGAAUAUUCUGCGUUGGUUGGAUGCAGUUACCAUCGUUCUUGUACUCGAUCCGAAUGGUCAAUACUACGCUCCUCGAGAAAUCGCAGCUGUUACUGGAUCGCUGGAAUAUAUUAAUUGUAAAUAAAGAUAGCUUAAUCAACACUA